rnacentral:rRNA from 1 species
AUACGGAGGAUGCGAGCGUUAUCCGGAUUUAUUGGGUUUAAAGGGUGCGUAGGCGGAUGAUCAAGUCAGCUGUGAAAUGCCCGCGCUUAACGCGGGAAGGGCAGCUGAUACUGGUUGUCUGGAGUGCCGUUGCCGUGGGGGGAAUGUGUAGUGUAGCGGUGAAAUGCAUAGAUAUUACACAGAACGCCGAUUGUGAAGACCCCUCAGGAUGCGAUAAGUGACUCUGACGCACGAAGUCGUGGGGAACAAACAGGAUUAGAUACCCUGGUAGCCCACGCUGUAAACGAAGAUGACUAAACGUAGGCGAUAGGCCGCCGGUGGCCCAGCGAAAGCGUAAAGUCAUCCCCCUGGGGAGUACGACCGCAAGGUUGAGACUUAAAGGAAUUGACGGGG